rnacentral:lncRNA from 1 species
UAACUUAAUCUUUCAUUUAGUCUUUGUGUGACAGUGUUCAAUUUGCAGAUUGUUGGCACUGAGAUCAAGUUUUAGGACAGAGCAGGACUACUUUAGAAAACUAGAAUUUUUCUUGGUGCCAAUUUUUUCAUACAACAGGGUGAAAAAAUAGGAAUAAUGAGAGUCUUACGUACUUAUCCCAUGACUGGUACCAGCUGUUUUGCAUGAUUUUUUCAGUGUGCUACAACAUGAGCAUUACACCAACCAGAUCCUGCAACUACCAGUGGAGUUUUUGGAGAGAAACGCUCCCGGUUUUGCCAUAUGGAAACGGGCUAGAUACAGGUUAAAUGAGGCAUGUGGUAGAGCUCAGAGGGAGAUUUUCAAAGGCAUGAGGGCAUCGGAAACAGAAGAACCAGCUGAGACUCAAGUUUUAUGAUGGGGAGAGGCACUGAAGGAGAGAUGAAUUCCAGUAUGUUUUUGUUCUGAAUUAAAACAAAAAGUGACUUUUCAAACAUUUCCACUCAAAGGAAAAUGGGAAAAAUUUCAGUUCAGGAAAAUGUAAAAGUGUUUUGAGUUGAUGAAACCAUCAACAGCUGUCAUAACUUCUGACUCCUGGCUCUGCUGUGGCUCCCUCAAAUGCCCUGGGGAGCUUCUGUUCUGCUGGAAGCAGCUUGGGAAGUUCCCUGAAGAUAGGAGGGCUGCUCAGAUUGUAACUUCGAUGGCUGUCAGGCUUCAAACUGUGAAAGAAAAUCUGGAAGCCCUGGAUAUGCCAGCUAUGAUUAUUAGGGCUUCCAAGCCCUCUUCUGCUGGCUUGUGGACUUGCAAGUCCCGAAUGCUCUGGCAGUCAGCCUGCCAAGGUUGUUUUUCAUUGCCAAGUCUGAGAAGAUGGGUUUUCAGCAAUGAGUCAGAACUGUUUUACAAACAAAGAGCCUAAAGUUGCAAUGACAGUGGAUUGAUGGCCCUCUUUAUUCCUCCAAACAAGAAAGCUGAUCUGCCAUUGAUAUCCCUGAUGAUGCUUUUCUUUGCUAGACAAACAAAGACUUAAAGUUGCUAUGGAAAUACACAAAGCUCUCAGUUUAUGCAUUCAUCAAAAAAGGAUCAUCAUCAUCACAUAAUACUGAUUGCACACUGUCUUUCUCUAGGUAUUUGUUGCAAGAUCUAAUGUCAAAAUAAAGAAAAAGAGUGGGGUAUGCUAUUGUAUUAG